AUUGAACGCUGGCGGCAGGCCUAACACAUGCAAGUCGAACGAGUGGCGGAAGGGUGAGUAAUGUCUGGGAAACUGCCUGAUGGAGGGGGAUAACUAGUGGAAAGCGUAGCUAAUAGCGCAUACCAUGCGAUAGGCCUAGACGGGAUUAGCGAGUAGGUGGGGUAAAGGCUCACCAAGGCGACGAUCCAUAGCUGGUCUGAGAGGAUUACCAGCCACACUGGGACGGAGACACGGUCCAGACUCCUACGGGAGGCAGCAGUGGGGAAUAUUGGACAAUGGGCGCAAGCCUGAUGCAGCCAUGCCGCGUGUAUGAAGAAGGCCUUCGGGUUGUAAAGUACUUUCAGCGGGGAGGCGUUACCCACAGAAGAAGCACCGGCUAACUCCGUGCCAGCAGCCGCGGUAAUAC
rnacentral:rRNA from 1 species